rnacentral:rRNA from 1 species
AUUGAACGCUGGCGGCAUGCCUUACACAUGCAAGUCGAACGGCAGCACGGGAGCAAUCCUGGUGGCGAGUGGCGAACGGGUGAGUAAUAUAUCGGAACGUGCCGAGUCGUGGGGAUAACGUAGCGAAAGCUACGCUAAUACCGCAUACGAUCUAUGGAUGAAAGCGGGGGAUCGCAAGACCUCGCGCGAUUGGAGCGGCCGAUAUCAGAUUAGGUAGUUGGUGAGGUAAAGGCUCACCAAGCCGACGAUCUGUAGCUGGUCUGAGAGGACGACCAGCCACACUGGGACUGAGACACGGCCCAGACUCCUACGGGAGGCAGCAGUGGGGAAUUUUGGACAAUGGGCGCAAGCCUGAUCCAGCAAUGCCGCGUGCAGGAUGAAGG